rnacentral:rRNA from 1 species
AUAUCAAUAAGCGGAGGAAAAGAAACCAACAGGGAUUGCCCUAGUAACGGCGAGUGAAGCGGCAACAGCUCAAAUUUGAAAUCUGGCUCUCGGGCCCGAGUUGUAAUUUGUAGAGGAUACUUUUGAUGCGGUGCCUUCCGAGUUCCCUGGAACGGGACGCCAUAGAGGGUGAGAGCCCCGUCUGGUUGGAUGCCAAAUCUCUGUAAAGUUCCUUCAACGAGUCGAGUAGUUUGGGAAUGCUGCUCUAAAUGGGAGGUAUAUGUCUUCUAAAGCUAAAUACCGGCCAGAGACCGAUAGCGCACAAGUAGAGUGAUCGAAAGAUGAAAAGCACUUUGAAAAGAGAGUUAAAAAGUACGUGAAAUUGUUGAAAGGGAAGCGUUUAUGACCAGACUUGGGCUUGGUUAAUCAUCUGGGGUUCUCCCCAGUGCACUUUUCCAGUCCAGGCCAGCAUCAGUUUUCCCCGGGGGAUAAAGGCGGCGGGAAUGUGGCUCUCUUCGGGGAGUGUUAUAGCCCACCGUGUAAUACCCUGGGGGGGACUGAGGUUCGCGCAUCUGCAAGGAUGCUGGCGUAAUGGUCAUCAACG